rnacentral:rRNA from 1 species
UGGGGAAUAUUGCACAAUGGGCGCAAGCCUGAUGCAGCCAUGCCGCGUGUAUGAAGAAGGCCUUCGGGUUGUAAAGUACUUUCAGUCGGGAGGAAGGUGGUAAGGUUAAUAACCUUAUCAAUUGACGUUACCGACAGAAGAAGCACCGGCUAACUCCGUGCCAGCAGCCGCGGUAAUACGGAGAGUGCAAGCGUUAAUCGGAAUUACUGGGCGUAAAGCGCACGCAGGCGGUUGAUUGAGUCAGAUGUGAAAUCCCCGGGCUUAACCCGGGAAUUGCAUCUGAUACUGGUCAGCUAGAGUCUUGUAGAGGGGGGUAGAAUUCCAUGUGUAGCGGUGAAAUGCGUAGAGAUGUGGAGGAAUACCGGUGGCGAAGGCGGCCCCCUGGACAAAGACUGACGCUCAGGUGCGAAAGCGUGGGGAGCAAACAGG